UCUUUUCCUUUUUUUCCCUCCUCCUCUUUCCUCCUUCUUUCUCCCGCGUUCUCCGGCUUUCCUGGGUGUCCCGGGCGUGUAGGUGGCCAGGCAAGUCAGAAGUGAAAGCCCGGGGCUCAACCCCGGGACUGCUUUUGAAACUGCAGGGCUAGAGUGCAGGAGGGGCAAGUGGAAUUCCUAGUGUAGCGGUGAAAUGCGUAGAUAUUAGGAGGAACACCAGGGGCGAAGGCGGCGGACGGGACGGGAAAGGAAGGGGAGGAGAGAAAGAGGGGGGAGAAAACAGG
rnacentral:rRNA from 1 species